AACGAACGCUGGCGGCGCGCCUAAUACAUGCAAGUCGAGCGAGAAGACGUAGCAAUACGUUUGUAAAGCGGCGAACGGGUGAGGAAUGCAUGGGUAACCUACCCUCGAGUGGGGAAUAACUAGCCGAAAGGUUAGCUAAUACCGCGUACGCUCCUUGGACUUCGGUUCAGGGAGGAAAGCGAUACCGUGGGUAUCGCGCUCUUGGAUGGGCUCAUGUCCUAUCAGCUUGUUGGUGAGGUAACGGCUCACCAAGGCUUCGACGGGUAGCUGGUCUGAGAGGACGAUCAGCCACACUGGCACUGCGACACGGGCCAGACUCCUACGGGAGGCAGCAGUAAGGAAUAUUGCGCAAUGGGCGAAAGCCUGACGCAGCGACGCCGCGUGGGGGAUGAAGGUCUUCGGAUUGUAAACCCCUUUCGGGAGGGAAGAUGGAACGAGCAAUCGUUCGGACGGUACCUCCAGAAGCAGCCACGGCUAACUUCGUGCCAGCCGCCG
rnacentral:rRNA from 1 species